rnacentral:rRNA from 1 species
AUAAUUAAAAGUUAUGAUCUUUAAAGUUAAAGAUUUUGGCGGUAUUUUAAUCUGUUCAGAGGAACCUGUUUUUGAAUUGACAGUCCACGAUUUUAUAAACUUUAUUUUUAAAUUUUCAUAUCGUCGUUAUUUGAAUAUUUUAUUAGAAUUUAAAUAUUCAUUAUUUAUAAUAAUAUUAUAGUUCAGAUCAAGGUGUAGUUUAUGGUAAAGUUAAAAUGGGUUACAUUAAAUUUAUUUAUGGUUUUUGUGUUUUAAAUACAAGAUAAAUUGGAUUUGAUAGUAAUUAUGAAAUU